ensembl:lncRNA novel transcript
AGACUCUUACUUGUGCCAGUUAGCUACAAAUUUGGGAUUAUAGUCAGUCCACUGCUCCUCCAGAUAAAUCUGAGGCAAAAUCUACUGCAUUAGCUCUAAUAGAGUCCUUUGCAAGCUUGACCUAACCUGGUCAGGAUCUGUUCUGAUUGAAUUGUAAAGCCUGUUAUGUCUCUUGCUGUACAUUUCUCUUGCUGCUAAAGUCUUCAUGUUUAGUCGGAUAUACUAAUUCUUCCAAGAUCCUGGCCAUCUCAGCCCUACCAUCGGUCUACCCUUUGAGGUGUUUGGGAUUUAACAAAAAUGAACUACUUCUCUUGCCCAUGGAUUACCGGCAUGACAAUAAGGCUCAUUAUUUUCAGAAGCUUGUAACUAUGCAGGAGAAUUUAUAUGUACUUCUGUGUGAUGAAGAAUUGGAUGCAGUCUCUUUGGAAGCUGUGCACCAACAAAAGAUGAAGAAUAGACAAGCCCACUCUUCAUCAGGUUUGAAGAUGCAGCUCCAGAAUGCAAUUCCCUUGUUCUAACCUCCUCAUUUACCACCCACCCAUAUGGUCUCUGCUGUGAAAAAAGUAUAGACAGGGUCAGGCACUGUGGCUCACGCCUGUAAUCCCAGCACUUUGGGAGGCCGAGGUGGAUGGAUCACGAGGUCAGGAGUUAGAGACCAGACUGGCCAACAUGGUGAAACCCCAUCUCUACUAAAAACACAAAAAUUAGUUGGGCGUGGUGGCAGGCACCUGUAAUCCCAGCUACUCGGGAGGCCUGAGUCAGGAGAAUCCUUUGAACCCGGGAGACAGAGGUUGCAGCGAGCCAAGAUCGCUCCAGCGGAGAUUGUACUCCAGCCUGGGAGACAGGGUGAGACUCUGUCUCAGAAAAAAAAAGAAAAAAAAAAAGUAUAGACAGGUCUCAUUUUCUAAUGGCUCCCUUCUAGUUCAAUAAGUUGUAAUAUUUUAUCAUUAAUAAUUUAUUAUCAUUUUAAAUGGUUCUCUGUAAAGAAAAAAGAGGGUUAACUUGCACUGUUCCGCUAAGGACUUGAGUAGUAUAAUGUAUAAUCUUUCUAAUUUGCUAGACGGAAGUAAUUGUAUUGUAUCAUGUUUUAAUUUGCAUUGGGGUUGUAAAUAAAGUGAACAUUUAAUACCCUAGUAAAGUGAUUUUUAAUGUCAAUAUUUAGAAGAUUAUUGAUUACCGAAAUUUAGCUUUAAAAAUUAUCUUUGAUUGACCGGGUGCGGUGGCUCACGCCUGUAAUCCCAGCACUUUGGGAGGCCGAGGCGGGCGGAUCACAAGGUCAGGAGAUCGAGACCAUCCUGGCUAACAUGAAACCCCAUCUCUACUAAAAAUACAAAAAAAAAUUAGCCAGGCGUGGUGGCGGGCGCCUGUGGUCCCAGCUACUCGGGAGGCUGAGGCAGGAGAAUGACGUGAACCCGAGAGGCGGAGCUUGCAGUGAGCCGAGAUCCCGCCACUGCACUCCAGCCUGGGCGACAGAGCAAGACUCCAUCUCAAAAAAAAAAAAAAAAUUAUCUUUGAUUGUGGCAGGCAUACUUUAUAUUUCAUGUAAUGUAUGCAUCCCUCAAAAUUAUUUCAGAUAACUUUUUGUAGACCACUAUUUGUAUCGUUAAUGAAAAUAUAUAUUUUCCUUAUUCUACAUUUUUAGUUUUUAAAAACUAUCAUGUAUUAUUUAAUUUGACAUAUAGUUUUCUGUACUUGUACUAAUGCCAUCAGCUAACAAAAUCAAUAAACAAUGGAACCCAUUGGGCAUAAAUCAACUUAAUUAACAGUUAUACAUCUGUUAUUAAACAUUGAAAGGCAUUUUAUUCUCUUGUUGAGUAUAGAUAUGGCCCUAAUUAACCAUUAUAAAACUUAUACAUACCCAUAGAAAAAGAACAUUCAAAAUAUAAAUAAAAAAUAGCCCCAGUGAUUUUUUUCUGUUUACCAGGGUGCAUAUUUGAAAUUACAUUACUUUAGUGAAAAAAUGCUAGCCAAACAUCUUUAUAGUAUUUGUAAAAAUGUAAAUGUCAGAGAAUAAAUAAAGCUCAUUUCUCUGGUCAGCUUGGAAUUUUUUUUCAGGAUCAUAACUCAUUGUUAAAUUUCAUGUAAACUGAUUAGCAUAUUUUAUUUAAUUAUGUAUUAUCCAUGUUUCUCUUUGCUAAUUGAGUGGUUUUUGAAUUAUGUUUGUAAAAUAAUGUAAAAUGUUUCCAUGAGAAUAAUAGUAACUAUGAAACUCACUUCCUUGCAAAAGCAAAUUUAAAUAAUGAAUUCAUGUAACUACUGGUAGAAUAUGCUACAAAAAAGUACUUGUGUAUUUAUUUACAUUUGUGAAAACAAAGUGUACUCAUAGAAGCUGCUAACAGAUCACCCUUGGAGAUUGCAUGUUCACUUUAGAGUCUGUUAGGUUUGCCCUGCAUGAACGUCUAAGAUCUUUUCAAAAAAUUGUUAUUGUAAUAAGGACUCUUAAAAUGAGAUUUGUUCUAUUAACAGAUUUUUAAAUGUACAAUACAGUGUCAUUAUCCAUAGGCUAAACGUUGUAUAACAAAUCUCUAGAAUGUACUUAUUAUGCAUAACUAAAAUUUUAUAAUACCAGCAGAAAACAAACAAAAAAUUACCAAUCACGGAAUAAUGUUGUUAUUACACAUUAAAAUGAAAGUUUUCUAUGUGAUGUUGAACAAAUCAGUUCAAAUAUUUGAGAUUCAAUUUGCUUAUUAGCCAAAUAAGAAGACUUAGUAUGAUUAUCUUCAAGGUAGCAUUCCACUGUCACUCUCCCUGAUUCCAACAGAUAAGAACAAGAAUUAGGAUGGUUUGAGCCUUUGACUUUGGAAAAUAGCAUUGCUCUCAUGCUUUUGAAUGCAUUUACAAACUUUAAGAGUCCUCACCACAGUUACUGCUAACAACGAAUAGGCUACUUCUGACUUCAGCAUAGAUUCCUGAAGGUUGUAGAGUGGUCAAGAGAGGCAAGUAUGUUUUUGAGGAAUAUAAUAUAAUUCUUACCUCCCUCUACUUAUUGACGGAUACUCACCAAAUGCAUGCCCACGUCAUAGAAACUUGCACACUCUAGAGAGUGUUAGUAGAUGUUAGUAGAACAUCUUUAGAGAGAUGUUAGUAGAAAGAGUCAAAUUGCAGCUUAAAUAUGUCAAUAAAUGUAUAUUUUAGAAAGCUUAGGAAGUAAUUCAACUAGAAGUUAAACAUAAGAUCUUUUGUUGGUGUUCUCUUCUAAGCCAUCCUAUGUUCUUAUUUUCAAUCAUAUGGUUCUUAAGCAAAUUAAGUCGUAGAUUAUACACAAUUGUAUGUGGAUAAAACAUAUCAUCUUACUUUUAUUACUAGAAUAGACAGAAAAUCAUUUUACUUAAAGAGAUACAAUUUUUUUUUCUGGUCAUAGCAUUAAAAAGUAAACAAUAAAAUGAUAUAAAUUUUGAUGAUCUUGCCCAAGAUCGAUGAACACUAAACUAAAAUAUUAAAACCAUUUUUUGAUGGAAAAUAUUCAGUAUGUAAAUAGAAAAGGGUUAAGUAAGCAUAGAAAUAUAAACUGUGUUCUGUUACACAAUUACAAUCAUUACAGAAAUAAUAUAGAAGCCUGAAAAUGACUUUUUUUAAUGUCCAGU